ACUACAUCUAGCCCAUACUCCUCCUCAUCACUACUACUAUAAGUCAAUCAAAUAAAACAUUUACCAUACAUCUAAAGUAUAGGAGAUAGAAAUUUAAUUAUCAAUGGCGCUAUAGAGAAAGUACCGUAAGGGAAAGAUGAAAGAAUUAUUAAAAGUAGAAAAAAGCAAAGUUUACCCCUUGUACCUUUUGCAUAAUGAUUUAACUAGUAAUAAUUUAGCAAAGAGACCUUAAGUUAAAUUACCCGAAACCAGACGAGCUACUUAUGAGCAGUAACUAGAACAAACUCGUCUAUGUGGCAAAAUAGUGAGAAGACUUGUAAGUAGAGGUGAAAAGCCUAACGAGCCUGGUGAUAGCUGGUUGUCCAAGAAAGGAAUUUCAGUUCAACAUUAAACAAUACUAAAAACCAUAUUAAGUUCCAACGUAUGUUUAACUGUUAGUCUAAAAAGGUACAGCUUUUUAGAAAUGGAUACAACCUUUACUAGAGAGUAACAUAAAACUUAAACCAUAGUUGGCCUAAAAGCAGCCAUCAAUUAAGAAAGCGUUCAAGCUCAACAACAAAAACAAGUUUUAAUUUCAACAAUAAACAAAAAACUCCUAGCCUGACUAUUGGACUAAUCUAUUUAAUUAUAGAAGAAAUACUGUUAAUAUGAGUAACAAGAAAAAUUUUCUCCUUGCACA
rnacentral:rRNA from 1 species